AACUUUCGGCAAUGGAUCUCUUUGUGCUGGCAUCGAUGAAGAACGCAGCGAAAUGCGAUAAGUAAUGUGAAUUGCAGAAUUCAGUGAAUCAUCGAAUCUUUGAACGCACAUUGCGCCCCUUGGUAUUCCGAGGGGCAUGCCUGUUCGAGCGUCAUUAUAACCCCUCAAGCUCAGCUUGGUGUUGGGGCCUGCCGCACAGGCAGCCCUUAAAAUCAGUGGCGGUGCCAUCUGGCUCUAAGCGUAGUAAUUCUUCUCGCUAUAGAGUCCCGGUGGAUGCUUGCCAUCAACCCCCAAUUUUCUAUGGUUGACCUCGGAUCAGGUAGGGAUCCCCGCUGACCUUAAGCAUAUCAAUAAGCGGAGGCU
rnacentral:misc_RNA from 1 species